ACAAGUCAUAAGUUAUAAAUAUUGUAUGGAGAUUUUCUAUAAGAUUCAUUACUAUUUCUUUUAAAUACAAUAUGUUGAAUACUUUUCGCAAAAUAUAUAUAAAUAUGAAUCUAUAAAUACCAAUAAAAAUUUUCCUCUCGGAAAGAAGAUAAGCACAAUUCGAUUUUCACAAAGUGGCAUGAUCGAAAAGAUACGAAUAUAGAGAAUGAGGAAGAGUGGAAUCACACGAGAAAAAGGGAUCAAAAGGAGAAAAGUAAGAUAAAGGCCAAAGAAAUUUCCCUUUUACGGUAAUAUCAUUCCAAAGUUAUUGUUAACAUUGUGAAGAGGUAGACUACGAUGCUACCCUCGUGAAUAUAUGUAAAAGAGGGAGUGGGACCAACCAGCGCAUGCUCGAGUUACUUUAGGGGGGUUGGGGAGAUACGAGCCAUCCGGGGAAAUCGAAUGAAACGAUCAUUCUGUUUCGAGUCGUCCUCAAAGCACGUUCAUGGUAGCCCUUGGAGAUGGACGGUCGGGAAUAAUAUAAAAGCGCCUCAUCAGUCGCGAUAAUGGCAACCAUCUGUAACAUUUUAAGCAACACGCUCUCGGAUAUAGUUUUCCAUGCGGUGUUACCACACACUUCGCGAGAAGUUAAUAUUCCUUAUAUACACCUCAAGAAGAGAGGACCGCAUAAUUCAAGGAACCAUUAAGGAGGAACAUCAAUGGCUACCACGUGCAUUUAUUCCUGGCAAUUUGCUGCGGCAGCGACAGAUCUCCGAUGUUUACUCGUCGGAGUAGGAAGGAUGACUGAUCCGGCAACUGUCCAAAUCAAUCCUUUUACGACUUUACAGAUAGCGAACGACCACCAUUUCAAAAUUUAAGUCUAUCGGAAAAUAAAUUAAAAAUACUUGUUGCUUCGUAGGUGUACCGUGGGGCGUUUAACGGAACGUACCAUUGUUAAAACAGCUGCUUAUUUAACUUCUCGUACAUCUAUUUCGUUCAAGUGAAUUCGAAAUUAUCAAAAGUAUUAAGUUGGAAGUUUUCAUCUGUGAAAAGAGAAGGCAACCCUCAAAUUCAUUCAAGGGUUCGUUUUUAUUGACAUUACACGUUACGACGCAACUCAGAUGCAACCACUCUGAGAUUAAAAUUAGAAAUUGUUGAAACUUUAGGUUAAAAUUAUUUCAUGUUUCUCGCGCGUUACGAUCUUCGAAAUGUUUAAACGAAUUGGUGUGUUUGUGUGUGUGUAUCCAUACAUACAUACCUGUCUGCCGUCUGGCAAGAAUAAUGAAAAUUUCAUUCAUGGACGUAGCAUAAAUAUACGGAAAAAUUUUUUAUAAUUUUAUCGCCAAACAAUAUGAAAUUACUUUAAACAAUAUGAAAUGAACUUACAAAGCUGUAAGUGACAAUUGUUUUUCCCCCUCUAGUUUAACUCCAUCUAUUAAUAAUUACGUCUUAAAGGAAUGGCUGUAAAAUAGCAACUUGCGGAAUAAUGAAUUGAAAUGGACAAAUGAAGAUAGAAAAAAUUAAAAUAGGCUUUAUCUUAUAGAGAGUGUUGUUCAAAAUGAUAUAGACGGUACAGUCCAUUAUCGUGUCUGAGGUGGUGCUUAUAUAUAGUUCCAUCUUCUUGUGUUUCCAAGAACCUGUAUGGGAUUUGACA